CAUCAAGGACCUUGGAUGGAAAAAUACCCUGUUUUCCACUGCUUUUGUCUUUUAGUUCUGGGUUUUCAGCCCCCUGAACUACGCAUGUUAAGAAACAUUUAUAAGGAGUUAUGUGUAUUUAUUAUGCUUAAAGAUUCAACUAGCCUGCCUUAAGCAGGUGCUGUUGACUCUUCUGCUGGCUUCUAUGAAAUAAGCUUCCCUAUGGAGACACCUACAUGACACGGAGCUAGGGGUGACCUCUGAUCAAGAGCCAGUGAGAAAUUGAGGCCCUCAGUUGAGAGUCUGCAGGAAACCAAAUCCUGCCAACAACUAUAUGAGCUUGGAAGUGGUUCCUUCCCUAGUUGAGCCUCUGAUGAGACCUGAGCCCUGGCUGGUACCUUGUUGGCAGUUUUAUGAGAGGUGCUAAUGAGGAGGACCCAGCUAAGCCAGGCCCAAACUCCUGGCCCACGGAAACUGUGAGCCAAUAAAUGCAGCUUUUUAAAGCUGUUAAGUUUGUGGUAAUGUUACACAGCAAUAGGUUAAAACAGUGGGCACGCAUUUUUAACUAUCUUGGAUAAAUAUCUAAGAGUGGAAUGACUAGAUCAUAUAGUAAGUGUAUAUUUAACUUUUGAAGGAACUGCCAAACUCUUGUUCACAUGGGUGUAUAUUUUUAUACUCCUUCCAGCAGUGUAUGAGAGUUCCACUUGCUCCACGUCCGCAACAACAUUUUGUGUUGCCAGUCUUUUUGAUUUUCCAUUCCAACUGGCAUGGAAUUAUCACAUUGUGGUUUUUAAUUUGCAUUUACUUGAUGACUAAUGAGGAAUAAACCUGUUUUAACCCAUUA